UUUCCGUAGGUGAACCUGCGGAAGGAUCAUUAAUGAGAACUAAGGGUAGUAGUCUCGGCUAUUACUCUGAACACUCCACCCUUUGUUUAUAUUACCUUUGUUGCCUUAGCAGGCCCGCUCUCGAGCCGCCGGCACCUGCUGGCUAGUGCCUGCUAAAGAACCUAAAACUCUUGUUAAUAAUAUUGUCUGAGUACUAUAUAAUAGUUAAAACUUUCAACAACGGAUCUCUUGGUUCUG
rnacentral:misc_RNA from 1 species